rnacentral:rRNA from 1 species
UUCCUUUUGUGUAGUAUUUAAGGUAUGACCUGCCCAAUGAUUUAAAAAUUUAAUGGCCGCGGUAUAUUGACCGUGCUAAGGUAGCAUAAUCAUUAGUCUUUUAAUUGGAGGCUGGUAUGAAGGGUUUGACGGAUCAUAUACUGUCUUGAUUGAAUAAUUAAAAUUUAAUUUUUAGGUGAGAAAGCCUAAAUUUUUUUAUGGGACGAGAAGACCCUAUAGAGUUUUACAGUUGAUUAUGAUUUUAAUUGGUUUGAUUUGUUUAAAUUAAUUGUUGGUAUCUGUUUUAUUGGGGUGAUAUUGGGAGAUAAUUAUCUCUUUAUUGUUUUUAUUUAUUGAUGUAUAGUUAAUUAUUUGAUCCUUUAUUUUGAUUAAAAGUUUAAAUUACCUUAGGGAUAACAGCGUAAUCUUUCCGGAGAGUUCUUAUUGAUGGGGAGGGUUGCGA